GUGGUGGGCCCCAUGCCAGGGCAGUGGCUGCAGCAGCUGGCAGUGCUAGUCCUGAUUCUGGUGCUAGCCUGGGGGGCUGGUCUACUAUGGCAGGAGAAGGAUCAGCCCAUCUAUUUGGCAGUGAAGGGAGUGGGGCUUGAUGUCACCUCUGGAAAGGGGUUUUAUGGACAAAGAGCCCCCUACAAUGCCUUGACCAGGAAGGACUCUGCUAGAGGGGUAGCCAAGGUGUCCUUGGAUCAUGUAGACCUUACCUGUGACACACCACAGGUCUCAUAGCCAAGAAGUUGUAGUCCAUGGAUGAUGUCUUCACCAGUGUGUACAAAGCCAAACACCCAAUUGUCAGCUACAGGGCUCAGACAAUUCUCAAUGAGUUUGGCAGCCCCAACCUGGACUUCAAGGCUGAAGACCAGCCCCUUUUUGACAAGAAGGAGGGGUUCUGA
rnacentral:lncRNA from 1 species